CGGGGUGGUCUCACAGAAGAUAAAGAAGGGUACCCUUAACUUUACGGGUAAGGGUUGGUGGACACUAGCUCAACACUGGGCAGCUAUGAUAGUUGGUUUUAUGGCUGGCUAUGAGUUUUCUAUGGCAGAAUUCUUAUCUCAAAAGAUGCGGGAUUGUGUUGUUAGGGGUGAAAAGGCAUUAUUAGCCUACCCCUAUGUGAUUACA
rnacentral:lncRNA from 1 species